GUGCUCGCUAUGGCAGCACAUAUACUAAAAUUGGAACCAUACAGAGAAGAUUAGCAUGGCCCCUGGAAAAAAAAAAAAAAAAACAAAAAAAAAAAACACCGGUUACUACAGCUUGGU
rnacentral:snRNA from 1 species